rnacentral:rRNA from 1 species
UGGGGAAUUUUGGACAAUGGGCGAAAGCCUGAUCCAGCAAUGCCGCGUGUGUGAAGAAGGCCUUCGGGUUGUAAAGCACUUUUUGUCCGGAAAGAAAUCCUUGGCUCUAAUACAGUCGGGGGAUGACGUACCGGAAGAAUAAGCACCGGCUAACUACGUGCCAGCAGCCGCGGUAAUACGUAGGGUGCAAGCGUUAAUCGGAAUUACUGGGCGUAAAGCGUGCGCAGGCGGUUUGCUAAAGACCGAUGUGAAAUCCCCGGGCUCAACCUGGGAACUGCAUUGGUGACUGGCAGGCUAGAGUAUGGCAGAGGGGGGUAGAAUUCCACGUGUAGCAGUGAAAUGCGUAGAGAUGUGGAGGAAUACCGAUGGCGAAGGCAGCCCCCUGGGCCAAUACUGACGCUCAUGCACAGAAAGCGUGGGGAGCAAAACAGGAUUAGAUACCCUGGUAGUCCACGCCCUAAACGAUGUCAACUAGUUGUUGGGGAUUCAUUUCCUUAGUAACGUAGCUAACGCGUGAAGUUGACCGCCUGGGGAGUACGGUCGC